rnacentral:rRNA from 1 species
UACAUGCAAGUAGAACGCUGAAGCUUGGUGCUUGCACCGAGCGGAUGAGUUGCGAACGGGUGAGUAACGCGUAGGUAACCUGCCUCUUAGCGGGGGAUAACUAUUGGAAACGAUAGCUAAUACCGCAUAAAAGUCGAUAUCGCAUGAUGUUGACUUGAAAGGUGCAAUUGCAUCACUAAGAGAUGGACCUGCGUUGUAUUAGCUAGUUGGUGAGGUAACGGCUCACCAAGGCGACGAUACAUAGCCGACCUGAGAGGGUGAUCGGCCACACUGGGACUGAGACACGGCCCAGACUCCUACGGGAGGCAGCAGUAGGGAAUCUUCGGCAAUGGGGGCAACCCUGACCGAGCAACGCCGCGUGAGUGAAGAAGGUUUUCGGAUCGUAAAGCUCUGUUGUAAGAGAAGAACGAGUGUGAGAGUGGAAAGUUCACGCUGUGACGGUAUCUUACCAGAAAGGGACGGCUAACUACGUGCCAGCAGCCGCGGUAAUACGUAGGUCCCGAGCGUUAUCCGGAUUUAUUGGGCGUAAAGCGAGCGCAGGCGGUUAGAUAAGUCUGAAGUUAAAGGCUGUGGCUUAACCAUAGUACGCUUUGGAAACUGUUUAACUUGAGUGCAGAAGGGGAGAGUGGAAUUCCAUGUGUAGCGGUGAAAUGCGUAGAUAUAUGGAGGAACACCGG